rnacentral:pre_miRNA from 1 species
CAGCCUGUUGCUAUGCGCGUUACUUCGGUGCUUGGCUGCGUUUCGUCGAGUCAGGUACCUGAAGUAGCGCGCGUAGCGACACGGA